GUUAGGGUGGCAAGGCCCGGCGAUUGCAUAAAACUUAAACCUUUAUACUCAGAGGUUCAAAUCCUCUCCCUAACA
rnacentral:tRNA from 1 species